UUUAUAAAGGAAGAAGUUGCUCAUAUAAUGGCUAGUUUCCCGGCGUCCCAUUCAUAACUUGGCGAACGGUAGAUUACGACGGCCUUUGUUCCAGUUACACGUUUCUACUACUGUUCAUCCGACCAUUUACUGGCAAUCAUAAAACGCAGUGAAGUCAAUGUUUCGCUAAAUUUCGGGAUACCAGCAACAGCUCACAAUCAGUCGAAGCGAUCGGCCGGUAAAAACUAUUUCGGUUCGUUUCAACUUUGCCACCAUGUCGUUCCUAAUUAUAGUCGUCAUUAGUAUUUUUGGGAUAUGCCUGUCACCAGCAGACAAGGCAUUCUCACUUGAAAGCUAUGCAGAUGGAGCUCCGCGUUGUAAUAGCACGUACGGACUGGAUGUACACAAAGAGAAUCAUCUGGUUGGCAAAUUCUCAACAGCGAAUUGCUCGGACGGGCGUGUGCAAAAGGCAGUGAAAACCGCAAACCUGGCACCGGAAGACGUUUACGGAGUUACCUCUCAAAUAGUUGCAGGAACUAAAUACGUGAUCUAUACCAACCGGAGGGAAUCGUCCUGCUGUCGAGUUCCAGUAUGGUCUCAACCUUCGGGAAAAAACGAGGUGGUUGCUGACGAAGUUUGUUGUGAUGACGAAAGUUGCGCCAGAUACGUGGAGAAAUGCUAGACAUGCUGCAGUAAUUAUGUUAUUUUCGUUCAUUCUCCUUGAUAUUCGAACUGUCAGCAUAAUUAUAGAAAGAAAUAGUAAACACUAUCUCAAUCACAACAAAGAGUUUAGCAGAUUCGAGUUCUUUAAUAAAUUGGCAUAUUAUUGCAUACAAA